GAACUUAGCAGAGAUGCUUUGGUGCCUUCGGGAACUCUGAGACAGGUGCUGCAUGGCUGUCGUCAGCUCGUGUUGUGAAAUGUUGGGUUAAGUCCCGNAACGAGCGCAACCCUUAUCCUUUGUUGCCAGCGGUUCGGCCGGGAACUCAAAGGAGACUGCCGGUGAUAAACCGGAGGAAGGUGGGGAUGACGUCAAGUCAUCAUGGCCCUUACGGCCAGGGCUACACACGUGCUACAAUGGCGCAUACAAAGAGAAGCGACCUCGCGAGAGCAAGCGGACCUCAUAAAGUGCGUCGUAGUCCGGAUUGGAGUCUGCAACUCGACUCCAUGAAGUCGGAAUCGCUAGUAAUCGUAGAUCAGAAUGCUACGGUGAAUACGUUCCCGGGCCUUGUACACACCGCCCGUCACACCAUGGGAGUGGGUUGCAAAAGAAGUAGGUAGCUUAACCUUCGGGAGGGCGCUUACCACUUUGUGAUUCAUGACUGGGGUGAAGUCGUAACAAGGUAGGCGUAGCGAG
rnacentral:rRNA from 1 species